rnacentral:tRNA from 1 species
GGGAAUGUAGCUUUGCAGAGCACUUGCCUCGCAUGCAUGAAUCCUGGGUUCCACUCCCAGCACUGCAA